UAGCACUUGAUACUAACCGAGUUAUCUGCCCUAGCCUUGUGUCAAAGGUUCAAUAUUAAAAAAUUGGUGUGAUUGCUGGGUCAAAGUGCAAUAUUAAAAAAAAAAAAAAAAAGCCGUGAGUAUAUAUUU